UGCCGAAAGCUUCAAUGAUGAGACCUUAUCAAUGAACCGAAUUUUUUAGGAAGAGCCGGAAGAGGUAUGGCAGUUAGGGCCCAAAGAGGUUUCCAGCUGUCGUCGAUGCUUAUAAUGGUUCUGCUGAAGGAGUCUUGAGG
rnacentral:snoRNA from 1 species